CCUACGGGAGGCUGCAGUGAGGAAUAUUGGUCAAUGGACGCAAGUCUGAACCAGCCAUGCCGCGUGCAGGAAGACGGCUCUAUGAGUUGUAAACUUCUUUUGUCCGAGGGUAAACGCAGACACGCGUAUCUGUCUGAAAGUACCGUACGAAUAAGGAUCGGCUAACUCCGUGCCAGCAGCCGCGGUAAUACGGAGGAUUCAAGCGUUAUCCGGAUUUAUUGGGUUUAAAGGGUGCGUAGGCGGUCGGAUAAGUUAGAGGUGAAAGCCCGAGGCUCAACUUCGGAAGUGCCUCUGAAACUGGUCGGCUAGAGAGGAGUAGAGGUAGGCGGAAUGUGUGGUGUAGCGGUGAAAUGCUUAGAGAU
rnacentral:rRNA from 1 species